rnacentral:Y_RNA from 1 species
GGCUGGUCCCAUGGUUAUCAGAACUUAUUAACAUUAGUGUCACUAAUGUUGGUAUUCAACCCCCCACUGCUAAAUUUGACUGGCAAAA